CGCGUAGGCGGACUGUUAAGUCGGGGUGAAAUCCCGGGGCUCAACCCCGGAACUGCCCUCGAUACUGGCAGUCUUGAGUUCGAGAGAGGUGAGUGGAACUCCGAGUGUAGAGGUGAAAUUCGUAGAUAUUCGGAAGAACACCAGUGGCGAAGGCGGCUCACUGGCUCGAUACUGACGCUGAGGUGCGAAAGUGUGGGGAGCAAACA
rnacentral:rRNA from 1 species